CGAUCUCAAAUCAGGCGGGACUACCCGCUGAACUUAAGCA
rnacentral:rRNA from 1 species